rnacentral:rRNA from 1 species
UGAAUUAACUGGAAAGUUGAACCGAAGAAAGUGAUAGUCUUGUAAGCGAAAAUUCUAAGCAAAAAUUCUUUGCACAUAAAACUGUAUCCCAAUUAGCACGAGGCACGUGGAAUCUCGUGUGAAUCUGCGAGGACCACCUCGUAAGGCUAAAUAUUACUAAAUGACCGAUAGUGAAAUAGUACCGUGAGGGAAAGGUGAAAAGAACCCCGGAAGGGGAGUGAAAUAGGACAUGAAACCGUCAGCUUACAAGCAGAAGAAGGACACUACAGUUUGUUUUAACUAUUUGUUUAACUUCGUGCCUGUUGAAGAAUGAGCCGGCGACUUAUAGUUAGUGGCAAAGGUUAAAGUAUUCCGUACUGGAGCCGUAGUGAAAGCGAGCUUGAAAAGAGCGAAAGUCACUAAUUAUGGACCCGAACCCAGAUGAUCUAGCCAUGACCAGGGUGAAGCUUAGGUAACACUAAGUGGAGGCCCGAACCGACUGAUGUUGAAAAAUCAGCGGAUGAGUUGUGGUUAGGGGUGAAAUGCCAAUCGAAUUUGGAGCUAGCUGGUUCUCCCCGAAAUGUGUUUAGGCGCAGCGAUUAAUGUUAUAACUUAGGGGUAAAGCACUGUUUCGGUGCGGGCUGGUAAUUCGGUACCAAAUCGAGGCAAACUCUGAAUACUAAGGAUCUGAAUUAAUCAGUAAGACCAUGGGGGAUAAGCUCCAUUGUCAAGAGGGAAAAAGCCCAGAUCACCAGCUAAGGCCCCUAAAUAUCUACUAAGUGAAAAAGGAGGUGGGAAAAUUUUGACAGCCAGGAGGUUUGCUUAGAAGCAGCAAUCCUUUAAAGAGUGCGUAAUAGCUCACUGGUCUAAUAUUCCUGCGCCGAAAAUGUAUGGGACUUAAGUAGUUUGCCGAAGCUGUGAGAUAUUAGUAGAAGCGUGAGCUAAUCUGCGUCGGUAGAUUUUUAAUAUCGGUAGGGGAGCGUUCUGUUGUAGGUUGAAGCACUAACGAAAGUAAGAUGUGGACGACUCAGAAGUGAGAAUGUCGGCUUGAGUAGCGAAAACAUUGGUGAGAAUCCAAUGCCCCGAAAACCUAAGGUUUCCUAUGAAAGGCUCGUCCGAAUAGGGUAAGUCAGGUCCUAAGGCGAGGCUGAAAAGCGUAGUCGAUGGGUAAUAGGUUAAUAUUCCUAUACCGUUUUUUGCUGGCAAUGAGGGACGGAGACGGCUAGACUAUACUAAGUUUUGGUAGCUAGUUCAAGCAUUCGAGGUGUUGAUAAGUAGAGGAAAUACUUUGAGCCAAGGUGUUAUGAGGACAACAUAGUUGAUGUCAUGCUUCCAAGAAAAGCUUAUACUGCCAUAAGCAAAAAAUGCCUGUACCAUAAACCGACACAGGUGGGUAGGUAGAGUAUACCAAGGGGCGCGAGAUAACCCUCUCUAAGGAACUCGGCAAAAUAACCCCGUAACUUCGGAAGAAGGGGUGCCUUAUACAAUAAGGCUGCAAUAACAAGGCCCAAGCGACUGUUUAUCAAAAACACAGGUCUCCGCAAAGUUGUAAGACAAAGUAUGGGGGCUGACGCCUGCCCAGUGCCGGAAGGUUAAAGAAGUUGGUUAACUCACAGAGUGAAGCUAAUAACUGAAGCCCCGGUGAACGGCGGCCGUAACAAUAACGGU